GAAGAGCCCUGAAAGGGUCGGCCCUUUACGAACUUCGGCUGGGGGGUAUUUUAUACCCAACAAUUACUAAAGUAAGAUGCAGCAUAUGAUAAAAAAUAUCUUUUAUUAUUUAAAGAGUCAAUACAUAAGUCUGAAAUAUUACAAGAAAAAUCCAUCAAAAUACAAAUUUCGAUUGGCUUGUAGAGCAUAUUCCUUUCACAAGGUU
rnacentral:lncRNA from 1 species